rnacentral:rRNA from 1 species
GAUGAACGCUGGCGGCGUGCCUAAUACAUGCAAGUCGAGCGAACGGACGAGAAGCUUGCUUUUCUGAUGUUAGCGGCGGACGGGUGAGUAACACGUGGAUAACCUACCUAUAAGACUGGGAUAACUUCGGGAAACCGGAGCUAAUACCGGAUAAUAUUUUGAACCGCAUGGUUCAAAAGUGAAAGACGGUCUUGCUGUCACUUAUAGAUGGAUCCGCGCUGCAUUUGCUAGUUGGUAAGGUAACGGCUUAUCAAGGCAACGAUGCAUAGCCGACCUGAGAGGGUGAUCGGCCACACGGGAACUGAGACACGGUCCAGACUCCUACGGGAGGCAGCAGUAGGGAAUCUUCCGCAAUGGGCGAAAGCCUGACGGAGCAACGCCGCGUGAGUGAUGAAGGUCUUCGGAUCGUAAAACUCUGUUAUUAGGGAAGAACAUAUGUGUAAGUAACUGUGCACAUCUUGACGGUACCUAAUCAGAAAGCCACGGCUAACUACGUG